UAGGGAAUCUUCCGCAAUGGACGCAAGUCUGACGGAGCAACGCCGCGCGAGUGAUGAAGGUUUUCGGAUCGUAAAGCUCUGUUGCCCUAGACGAACAGCAAGGGGAGUAACUGCCCUUUGUGUGACGGUAUAGGAGAAGAAAGCCCCGGCUAACUACGUGCCAGCAGCCGCGGUAAUACGUAGGGGGCAAGCGUUGUCCGGAAUUAUUGGGCGUAAAGCGCGCGCAGGCGGUUCGUUAAGUCUGAUGGUAAAGCCCGGGGCUCAACCCCGGUAUUCAUUGGAAACUGGCGGACUGGAGUGCAGGAGAGGGAAGCGGAACUCCACGUGUAGCGGUGAAAUGCGUAGAGAUGUGGAGGAACACCAGUGGCGAAGGCGGCUUCCUGGCCUGUAACUGACGCUGAGGCGCGAAAGCGUGGGGAGCAAACA
rnacentral:rRNA from 1 species